GAUGAACGCUGGCGGCGUGCCUAAUACAUGCCAGUCGAGCGAACAGACGAGGAGCUUUCUUCUCUGACGUUAGCGGCUGACGGGUGAGUAACACGUGGAUAACCUACCUCUUAUACUGGGAUAACUUCGGGAAACCGGAGCUAAUACCGGAUAAUAUAUUGAACCGCUUGGUUCAAUAGUUCAACACGGUUUUGCUGUCUCUUAUAGAUGGAUCCGCGCCGCAUUAGCUAGUUGGUGAGGUAACGGCUUACCAAGGCAACGAUGCGUAGCCGACCUGAGAGGGUGAUCGGACACACUGGAACUGAGACACGGUCCAGACUCCUACGGGAGGCAGCAGUAGGGAAUAUUCCGCAAUGGGCGAAAGCCUGACGGAGCAACGCCGCGUGAGUGAUGAAGGUCUUCGGAUCGUAAAGCUCUGUUAUUAGGGAAGAAAAAAUGUGUAAGUAAAUAUGCACGUCUUGACGGUACCUAAUGAGAAAGCCACGGCUAACUACGUG
rnacentral:rRNA from 1 species